rnacentral:rRNA from 1 species
UACGGAGGGAGCUAGCGUUGUUCGGAAUUACUGGGCGUAAAGCGCACGUAGGCGGCUAUUCAAGUCAGAGGUGAAAGCCCGGGGCUCAACCCCGGAACUGCCUUUGAAACUAGGUAGCUAGAAUCUUGGAGAGGUCAGUGGAAUUCCGAGUGUAGAGGUGAAAUUCGUAGAUAUUCGGAGGAACACCAGUGGCGAAGGCGGCUCACUGGUCCAUUACUGACGCUGAGGUGCGAAAGCGUGGGGAGCAAACAGG